GUCUACGGCCAUACCACCCUGAAUGCGCCUGAUCUCAUCUGAUCUCGGAAGCUAAGUGGGGUCCGGCCUUGUUAGUACUUGGAUGGGAGAAAGAUGACAGAUGAAAGAUUAAGUACUAGUAGGAU
rnacentral:rRNA from 1 species